GAUGAACGCUGGCGGCGUGCCUAAUACAUGCAAGUCGAGCGAACGGACGAGAAGCUUGCUUCUCUGAUGUUAGCGGCGGACGGGUGAGUAACACGUGGAUAACCUACCUAUAAGACUGGGAUAACUUCGGGAAACCGGAGCUAAUACCGGAUAAUAUUUUGAACCGCAUGGUUCAAAAGUGAAAGACGGUCUUGCUGUCACUUAUAGAUGGAUCCGCGCUGCAUUAGCUAGUUGGUAAGGUAACGGCUUACCAAGGCAACGAUGCAUAGCCGACCUGAGAGGGUGAUCGGCCACACUGGAACUGAGACACGGUCCAGACUCCUACGGGAGGCAGCAGUAGGGAAUCUUCCGCAAUGGGCGAAAGCCUGACGGAGCAACGCCGCGUGAGUGAUGAAGGUCUUCGGAUCGUAAAACUCUGUUAUUAGGGAAGAACAUAUGUGUAAGUAACUGUGCACAUCUUGACGGUACCUAAUCAGAAAGCCACGGCUAACUACGUGCCAGCAGCCGCGGUAAUACGUAGGUGGCAAGCGUUAUCCGGAAUUAUUGGGUGUAAAGCGCGCGUAGGCGGUUUUUUAAGUCUGAUGUGAAAGCCCACGGCUCAACCGUGGAGGGUCAUUGGAAACUGGAAAACUUGAGUGCAGAAGAGGAAAGUGGAAUUCCAUGUGUAGCGGUGAAAUGCGCAGAGAUAUGGAGGAACACCAGUGGCGAAGGCGACUUUCUGGUCUGUAACUGACGCUGAUGUGCGAAAGCGUGGGGAUCAAACAGGAUUAGAUACCCUGGUAGUCCACGCCGUAAACGAUGAGUGCUAAGUGUUAGGGGGUUUCCGCCCCUUAGUGCUGCAGCUAACGCAUUAAGCACUCCGCCUGGGGAGUACGACCGCAAGGUUGAAACUCAAAGGAAUUGACGGGGACCCGCACAAGCGGUGGGGCAUGUGGUUUAAUUCGAAGCAACGCGAAGAACCUUACCAAAUCUUGACAUCCUUUGACAACUCUAGAGAUAGAGCCUUCCCCUUCGGGGGACAAAGUGACAGGUGGUGCAUGGUUGUCGUCAGCUCGUGUCGUGAGAUGUUGGGUUAAGUCCCGCAACGAGCGCAACCCUUAAGCUUAGUUGCCAUCAUUAAGUUGGGCACUCUAAGUUGACUGCCGGUGACAAACCGGAGGAAGGUGGGGAUGACGUCAAAUCAUCAUGCCCCUUAUGAUUUGGGCUACACACGUGCUACAAUGGACAAUACAAAGGGCAGCGAAACCGCGAGGUCAAGCAAAUCCCAUAAAGUUGUUCUCAGUUCGGAUUGUAGUCUGCAACUCGACUAUAUGAAGCUGGAAUCGCUAGUAAUCGUAGAUCAGCAUGCUACGGUGAAUACGUUCCCGGGUCU
rnacentral:rRNA from 1 species